rfam:Candidatus Campbellbacteria bacterium RIFOXYC2_FTLL_35_25 rifoxyc2_full_scaffold_440, whole genome shotgun sequence.
GCCGCCUUAGCUCAGUAGGUAGAGCAAUGGUAUCGUAAACCAUAGGUCCGCAGUUCGAUUCUGCGAGGCGGCU